ACACCUCAACUCUCAUGGCUUUGCCAUGGUGAGCUUGGACUUUGGGGGUCUUGCUGGCCUGCGGUCAGCUCCUCUCAAAUGAAUCAGCUUGCCAGUGUUUGGUGGCGUCGCGGGUGUGAUAAUUAUCUACGCUCGUGGUUUUCCACCAGGUAACCUCCAGUGAUAUGGAGGUUCGCUGGAGCUCAUAAACGUCUCUCCUCAGCGAGGACAGCUUUUUGAAC
rnacentral:misc_RNA from 1 species